CCCAUUUGUACAUUCAGCUUAUGGUUCUCUUUUAUGAUGGCUGCUAUUUAUGUAUCUCCAUACUAAACUAAUUUGGAGAUUCCCACAGUCCUCUGAACCACCGGCCAAUAUUUUGCUCACUGACAUGCAAAAAAUCUGCACCAUCUGAAGCAUGUGUUAGUAGGUCAAAUGUUAUGCACAUACUAAGCAGUGUAUUUUUGCCUUGUUAGAAAACAAACACUUUGAUUAAAG